GACGAACGCUGGCGGCGUGCUUAACACAUGCAAGUCGAACGGAAAGGCCCUGCUUUUGUGGGGUGCUCGAGUGGCGAACGGGUGAGUAACACGUGAGUAACCUGCCCUUGACUUUGGGAUAACUUCAGGAAACUGGGGCUAAUACCGGAUAGUAGCUCCUGCUGCAUGGUGGGGGUUGGAAAGUUUCGGCGGUUGGGGAUGGACUCGCGGCUUAUCAGCUUGUUGGUGGGGUAGUGGCUUACCAAGGCUUUGACGGGUAGCCGGCCUGAGAGGGUGACCGGCCACAUUGGGACUGAGAUAAGGCCCAGACUCCUACGGGAGGCAGAAGGGGGGAAUAUUGCACAAUGGGCGGAAGCCUGAUGCAGCAACGCCGCGUGCGGGAUGACGGCCUUCGGGUUGUAAACCGCUUUCGCCUGUGACGAAGCGUGAGUGACGGUAAUGGGUAAAGAAGCACCGGCUAACUACGUG
rnacentral:rRNA from 1 species